rnacentral:rRNA from 1 species
AACGAACGCUGGCGGCAUGCCUAACACAUGCAAGUCGAACGAGACCUUCGGGUCUAGUGGCGCACGGGUGCGUAACGCGUGGUAACCUGCCCUUAGGUUCGGAAUAACUCCCCGAAAGGGGUUCUAAUACCGCUUAAUAUCUUCGCACCAAAGAUUUAUCGACCUUGGAUGGGCCCGCGUUGGAUUAGCUAGUUGGUAGGGUAAAACCCUACCAAGGCGACGAUCCAUAGCUGGUCUGCGAGGAUGAUCAGCCACACUGGGACUGAGACACGGCCCAGCCUCCUACGGGAGGCAGCAGUGGGGAAUAUUGGACAAUGGGCGCAAGGGUGAUCCAGCAAUGCCGGGUGAGUGAUGAAGGCCUUAGGGUUGUAAAGCUCUUUUACCCGGGAUGAUAAUGACCGUACCGGGAGAAUAAGCUCCGGCUAACUCCGUG